CCUACGGGUGGCAGCAGUGAGGAAUAUUGGUCAAUGGACGCAAGCCUGAACCAGCCAAGUAGCGUGCAGGAUGACUGCCCUACGGGUUGUAAACUUCUUUUGUACAGGAAUAAAGUGAGGCACGUGUGCCUUUUUGUAUGUACUUUAUGAAUAAGGAUCGGCUAACUCCGUGCCAGCAGCCGCGGUAAUACGGAGGAUCCGAGCGUUAUCCGGAUUUAUUGGGUUUAAAGGGAGCGUAGAUGGGUUGUUAAGUCAGUGGUGAAAUUUUGCGGCUCAACCGUGAAAUUGCAAUUGAUACUGGCAGGCUUGAGUACAGUUGAGGUAGGCGGAAUGCGUGGUGUAGCGGUGAAAUGCUUAGAUAUCACGAAGAACUCCGAUUGCGAAGGCAGCUUACUAAGCUGCCACUGACAUUGAUGCUCGAAAGUGUGGGUAGCAAACAGGAUUAGAUACCCUGGUAGUC
rnacentral:rRNA from 1 species